GACGAACGCUGGCGGCGUGCUUAACACAUGCAAGUCGGACGGUCGGCACUGGAAGGUUCGCUGGAAGGUGCCGGUAGUGGCGGACGGGUGAGUAACGCGUGAGGACAUGGCUCCAGGAGGGGGAUAACGUUUGGAAACGGACGCUAAGACCCCAUAUGCCGGAAGGUGAAAAAUGGUGCAAGCCAGCCUGGAGAGUGACUCGCGUCCUAUCAGCUAGUUGGUGGGGUGAAGGCCUACCAAGGCGAUGACGGGUAGCCGACCUGAGAGGGUGGCCGGCCACACUGGAACUGAGAUACGGUCCAGACUCCUACGGGAGGCAGCAGUGGGGAAUAUUGGGCAAUGGGCGCAAGCCUGACCCAGCGACGCCGCGUGGGGGGAAGAAGUCUUUCGGGAUGUAAACCCUUGUUGUACGGGACGAAACGAAUGACGGUACCGUACGAGGAAGCCCCGGCAAACUACGUGCCAGCAGCCGCGGUAAUGUCUGUACU
rnacentral:rRNA from 1 species